GAUGAACGCUGGCGGCGUGCCUAACACAUGCAAGUCGAGCGAACCCUUCGGGGUGAGCGGCGGACGGGUGAGUAACGCGUGGGUAACCUGCCCUGUACACACGGAUAACAUACCGAAAGGUAUGCUAAUACGGGAUAAAGUACGAGAGUCGCAUGGCUUUUGUAUCAAAGCUCCGGCGGUACAGGAUGGACCCGCGUCUGAUUAGCUAGUUGGUAAGGUAACGGCUUACCAAGGCAACGAUCAGUAGCCGACCUGAGAGGGUGAUCGGCCACAUUGGAACUGAGACACGGUCCAAACUCCUACGGGAGGCAGCAGUGGGGAAUAUUGCACAAUGGGCGAAAGCCUGAUGCAGCAACGCCGCGUGAGCGAUGAAGGCCUUCGGGUCGUAAAGCUCUGUCCUCAAGGAAGAUAAUGACGGUACUUGAGGAGGAAGCCCCGGCUAACUACGUGCCAGCAGCCGCGGUAAUACGUAGGGGGCUAGCGUUAUCCGGAAUUACUGGGCGUAAAGGGUGCGUAGGCGGUCUUUCAAGCCAGAAGUGAAAGGCUACGGCUCAACCGUAGUAAGCUUUUGGAACUGUAGGACUUGAGUGCCGGAGAGGUAAGCGGAAUUCCUAGUGUAGCGGUGAAAUGCGUAGAUAUUAGGAGGAACACCAGCGGCGAAGGCGGCUUACUGGACGGUAACUGACGUUGAGGCUCGAAAGCGUGGGGAGCAACCAGG
rnacentral:rRNA from 1 species